CUGCUGGUCGUAUUGCUGCCGGUCCUGCUGCUGCUGCUGGUCCUAUUGCUGCCAACGAACCAAGUGUUGACAGUACUUGGCAAGCUCGCAGACCAAGAGGAAGGGCUGCUGGAAUUCGACGGCAGCAAAAACAUUUCGUAAGAUUUUUGUACCAACUAUCCUGCGCGUAUUAUCCCAGGGGUAACAGUGGAAGAGGACGAGGAAGAGGACGCGGGACAAUCUGAUGUACAAUUUCAAUGGAGAGAGAGACUGCAAUGGAGAGAGGAUAGGAGAGAGAGAGAGAGACGAAUAAGACUGAGGAGAGAGAGAAAAAUAUCGUCUUAAAAGUCUAAUGUAUAUAGAA